rnacentral:rRNA from 1 species
UACGUAGGGUCCAAGCGUUAUCCGGAAUCACUGGGCGUAAAGCGUGUGUAGGCGGGUGUUUAAGUGAAAUGCGAAAUCUUGUGGCUCAACCAUAUAGACUGUGUUUCAUACUGGAUACCUUGAGGAUGGCAGAGGCAAGUGGAAUUGAUAGUGUAGCAGUGAAAUGCGUAGGUAUUAUCAGGAACACCAAUGGCGAAGGCAGCUUGCUGGGCCAUAUCUGACGCUGAGACACGAAAGCGUGGGGAGCGAACAGG